AAGGGGACUUCUAAUUGUUUGUAAAAAAUCGAGUAUUACAACCAUUGGAAUUUCUCUAUU
rnacentral:pre_miRNA from 15 species